GGUCGAUACUGCUGAAGGUGCCCGAUGGUGCCGAAGGUGCCCACAUCGAAAUAGUGGCACCUUCGGCACCUUCGGCACCUUCGCAAGAU
rnacentral:miRNA from 1 species